GGAGGGGUGCCGGAGCGGCCGAUCGGGGCGGUCUCGAAAACCGUUGUAGCUCUUGAGUUACCGUGGGUUCGAAUCCCACCCCCUCCG
rnacentral:tRNA from 1 species